CCUCACUUCGUUGGCGUACCUGGUACGCACCAUCUCCAGUAAUGACUCGGACAGGGGGGCGGCCUCCUUCUCAUCCCGCCGGCACUCUUCCUCAUACUUCUCGAAACACAAUCUGGUAAGGUCCUGUUCAUCCAUCUGCUUAUACUCUGAUGCAGGCCUGAACUCAGUAUCAAGCCUACUGAUGUCACGCGCCAACUCCGCCUGCUUCAUGGCGAUCUGAAGCCUCAACUCUGUUAUCUAAUCCUCUAACUCAAACCUCCUUCCUUUCUUCUCCUCCAAAAAAUCAGAAAGUUGUUGACUGAGAAUGUGGACCAGAGCGACAGUCCCAACUUCCUGCCCGGGCCUAGCCCUCUUCCUCAGAGUUGCCUGCUUCUGAAUGGUUCCGAGCUGCUCUGCCCCCUCCGGGGUCCUCAGCCAGCCACAGAACUUGAAGAGCUGAACCAAGGUGCAAUUAUAAUUCUGAUUCCAGAAGAAGCGUCUAACCCCAAGGGCGAAGAUAUCAUCCCUAGCAGCUUGUUCAGUAAUGGCGCAGACGAUCUUCACACAACUGAUGAAGCUCUUGACGGAGAGGAAAGAAUCCAACAAUGACUGCUGUGUCCACCCAUCAAUGGGAAAGUAACUGGAGCGCAAGGGCUCCAGGGUCUCAGCCAACUGCCUUGCGAGAUCGUCCUCAGCCCCAGGAAAGUAAUAGUUAUGUGCAGGCCCAGCCAUUGUGAACUGAUGAGAAACAGGAUGACCUGAAAAGGAAAGAUAACAAACACAAAACAACAAAACACAGGGAGGGAGAGCGAUAAGAAGAAAACAGGGUUAGAUAAAGAAACUAUAAGUGUAACGAAAGGCAAGGGCGGUGAGUCAAACGUGCACCUGUGAAAUUUACAUUGAUAUCAGUGCAUUGGUAAAUGAAUAAUUAUUUUUUUUAAAAAAAAGAGGCGAGGAUGAAGAUGAACUUGGCAAGGCCAAUUAGUUAUUUCACUUUAAUGGUGGUUGUAACUGUUGCUCUCCCUUAAACUUACACUAAUAAAUCAAG
rnacentral:lncRNA from 1 species